rnacentral:sRNA from 1 species
UUACAUCGAGCUGGGCAGCUACCAGUACUGGCCGGUCCUGGUGCCCCGUGGCAUCCGCCUGUACACCUACGAGCAGAUCCCCGUGUCCCUCAAGGACAACCCGUACAUCACCGACGGCUACCGGGCCUACCUGCCGUCCAGGCUGUGUAUCAAAAGCAAGUGCGUCCAGAGAAGAUUUUGUAAUUUGUUCUAUUUGUCUUUUCUGCUUCCAGGUCUGUAUGCUUUGCUCUGUGGGCUAUCAUCUUUUUUCCUGCCAUCGGUCAGAAAAAACAUGUCGAAGAUGGAUGGCAUUAGAUUAUGCAGGAAUUUCUAUUGGAAUACUGGGCUGCUAUGUCUCAGGAGUAUUUUACGCAUUUUAUUGUAAUAACUACUGGCGUCAGGUGUACUUGAUCACAGUGCUUGCUAUGAUCCUGGCAGUGUUCUUUGCACAGAUUCAUCCCAAUUACCUCACGCAGCAAUGGCAAAGGCUCCGUUCUAUCAUCUUUUGUUCUGUUUCGGGAUAUGGAGUGAUUCCUACUCUUCACUGGGUUUGGCUCAAUGGAGGAAUUGGUGCUCCUAUUGUACAGGACUUUGCACCCCGUGUAAUUGUGAUGUAUA